UUACAGUUAUGUUAAAUGGGAAGUCAGUCAAAUUCUGACGCUGCCCCCGCAACGGUAGAUGAGUUAAAGACCAUUCAAGAUGUCACUGUGUCAUGUAGUUUAAAUGAUAUGGGAAGGCGAAUGGUUAGUGAGAAGCACACUCAUGAGCCCGGAGACCGACCUUAAACUUCA
rnacentral:ncRNA from 1 species